ACGAACGCUGGCGGCGUGGAUAAGACAUGCAAGUCGAACGGGAGAAUUGCUAGCUUGCUAAUAAUUCUCUAGUGGCGCACGGGUGAGUAACACGUGAGUAACCUGCCUCUUAGUGGGGGAUAGCCCUGGGAAACCGGGAUUAAUACCGCAUACGAUUGAAAGAUCAAAGCAGCAAUGCGCUAGGAGAUGGGCUCGCGGCCUAUUAGUUAGUUGGUGAGGUAACGGCUCACCAAGGCGAUGACGGGUAGCCGGUCUGAGAGGAUGUCCGGCCACACUGGAACUGAGACACGGUCCAGACACCUACGGGUGGCAGCAGUCGAGAAUCAUUCACAAUGGGGGCAACCCUGAUGGUGCGACGCCGCGUGGGGGGAUGAAGGUCUUCGGAUUGUAAACCCCUGUCAUGUGGGAGCAAAUUAAAAAGAUAGUACCACAAGAGGAAGAGACGGCUAACUCUGUGCCAGCAGCCGCGGUAAUACAGAGGUCUCAAGCGUUGUUCGGAAUCACUGGGCGUAAAGCGUGCGUAGGCUGUUUCGUAAGUCGUGUGUGAAAGGCAGGGGCUCAACCCCUGGAUUGCACAUGAUACUGCGAGACUAGAGUAAUGGAGGGGGAACCGGAAUUCUCGGUGUAGCAGUGAAAUGCGUAGAUAUCGAGAGGAACACUCGUGGCGAAGGCGGGUUCCUGGACAUUAACUGACGCUGAGGCACGAAGGCCAGGGGAGCGAAAGGGAUUAGAUACCCCUGUAGUCCUGGCAGUAAACGGUGCACGCUUGGUGUGCGGGGAAUCGACCCCCUGCGUGCCGGAGCUAACGCGUUAAGCGUGCCGCCUGGGGAGUACGGUCGCAAGAUUAAAACUCAAAGAAAUUGACGGGGACCCGCACAAGCGGUGGAGUAUGUGGCUUAAUUCGAUGCAACGCGAAGAACCUUACCUGGGCUUGACAUGUAAUGAACAACAUGUGAAAGCAUGCGACUCUUCGGAGGCGUUACACAGGUGCUGCAUGGCCGUCGUCAGCUCGUGUCGUGAGAUGUUUGGUUAAGUCCAGCAACGAGCGCAACCCCUGUUGCCAGUUACCAGCACGUCAAGGUGGGGACUCUGGCGAGACUGCCCAGAUCAACUGGGAGGAAGGUGGGGACGACGUCAGGUCAGUAUGGCCCUUAUGCCCAGGGCUGCACACGUACUACAAUGCCCAGUACAGAGGGGGCCGAAGCCGCGAGGCGGAGGAAAUCCUGAAAACUGGGCCCAGUUCGGACUGUAGGCUGCAACCCGCCUACACGAAGCCGGAAUCGCUAGUAAUGGCGCAUCAGCUACGGCGCCGUGAAUACGUUCCCGGGUCUUGUACACACCGCCCGUCACAUCAUGGAAGCCGGUCGCACCCGAAGUAUCUGAAGCCAACCGCAAGGAGGCAGGGUCCUAAGGUGAGACUGGUAACUGGGAUG
rnacentral:rRNA from 1 species